rnacentral:rRNA from 1 species
UGGGGGAUAUUGCACAAUGGGCGAAAGCCUGAUGCAGCGACGCCGCGUGAGGGAAGACGGUUUUCGGAUUGUAAACCUCUGUCUUCGGGGACGAAAAAGGACGGUACCCGAGGAGGAAGCCACGGCUAACUACGUGCCAGCAGCCGCGGUAAUACGUAGGUGGCAAGCGUUGUCCGGAAUUACUGGGUGUAAAGGGAGAGUAGGCGGGGCUGCAAGUCUGUUGUUAAAUCUAUCGGCUCAACCGAUGGCUGCGGCAGAAACUGUAGUUCUUGAGUGAAGUAGAGGCAGGCGGAAUUCCUAGUGUGGCGGUGAAAUGCGUAGAUAUUAGGAGGAACACCAGUGGCGAAGGCGGCCUGCUGGGCUUUAACUGACGCUGAGGCUCGAAAGUGUGGGGAGCAAACAGGAUUAGAUACCCUGGUAGU